rnacentral:rRNA from 1 species
UAUAUUAAGUUGUUGCAGUUAAAAAGCUCGUAGUUGAAUUUCGGGAUUGACGUGAUGGUCAUGCCUUAAGGGGUAUGAACUGUUACUGUUGAUUUCUCACCUUCUGGAGAAACUUGAUGUCCUUUAUUGGGUGUCUUGCGGAUCCAGGACCUUUACCUUGAAAAAUUAGA